GUAGGUGAACCUGCGGAAGGAUCAUUAUUGAAUUAUGUUUUCUAGAUGAGUUGUAGCUGGCUCUUUGGAGCAUGUGCACGCCUGUCUGGACUUCAUCUUCAUCCACCUGUGCACCUAUUGUAGUCUUUUGUCGGGUAUUGAGGAAGUGGUCAGCCUUAUCAGCACUUGCUGGAUGUGAGGACUUGCAGUGUGAAAGCAUUGCUGUCCUUUACUUGGCCAUGGAAUCCUUUCCCUGCCAGAGUCUAUGUCAUUCAUUACACCCUGUAGAAUGUUAUUGAAUGUCUUUACAUGAGCUUGUAUGCCUAUGAAAAUUGUAAUACAACUUUCAGCAACGGAUCUCUUGGCUCUC
rnacentral:misc_RNA from 1 species